AUGAACGCUGGCGGCGUGCCUCAUACAUGCCAGUAGAACGCUGAAGGCGGAGCUUGCUCUUCUGGAUGGGUUGCGAACGGGUGAGUAACGCGUAGGUAACCUGCCUGGUAGCGGGGGAUAACUAUUGGAAACGAUAGCUAAUACCGCAUGACAACAGUUAUUGCAUGAUAACUGUUUAAAAGGGGCAACUGCUCCACUACCAGAUGGACCUGCGUUGUAUUAGCUAGUUGGUGAGGUAACGGCUCACCAAGGCGACGAUACAUAGCCGACCUGAUAGGGUGGGCAGCCACACUGGGACUGAGACACGGCCCAGAGGCCUACGGGAGGCAGCAGGAGGGAAUCGGGAGCAAUGGACGGAAGACUGACCGAGCAACGCCGCGUGAGUGAAGAAGGUUGUCGGAUCGUGAAGCUCGGUUGUAGGAGAAGAACGAGUGUGAGAGUGGAAAGUUCACACUGUGACGGUAUCUUACCAGAAAGGGACGGCUAACUACGUG
rnacentral:rRNA from 1 species